rnacentral:rRNA from 1 species
GACAGAGGGUGCAAACGUUUGUUCGGAAUUACUGGGCGUAAAGCGCGUGUAGGCUGCUCUGCAAGUCGGAUGUGAAAGCCCUGGGCUCAACCUAGGAAGUGCAUUCGAAACUGCAAAGCUGGAGUCCUGGAGAGGAAGGCGGAAUUCUCGGUGUAGAGGUGAAAUUCGUAGAUAUCGAGAGGAACACCGGUGGCGAAGGCGGCCUUCUGGACAGUGACUGACGCUGAGACGCGAAAGCGUGGGGAGCAAACAGGG